rnacentral:sRNA from 1 species
CUACAUAAUAACAAUAUUUGCCAGUGG